UACAGAGGGUGCAAGCGUUGUUCGGAAUUAUUGGGCGUAAAGCGCGUGUAGGCGGCUUUGCAAGUCGGGUGUGAAAGCCCUCAGCUUAACUGAGGAAGUGCGCCCGAAACCGCAGAGCUUGAGUACCGGAGAGGAUGACGGAAUUCCCCAAGUAGAGGUGAAAUUCGUAGAUAUGGGGAGGAACACCGGUGGCGAAGGCGGCCAUCUGGACGGAUACUGACGCUGAGACGCGAAAGCGUGGGUAGCAAACAGG
rnacentral:rRNA from 1 species